rnacentral:misc_RNA from 1 species
CUCUUUAGUUCACCAAAUUUCUUCCCUUUUUUGCUUCCUGAAAUUAGUAAUCAGUGCGAUAUGCACAAAGGGGCGCUUCAAUCUUCGCAUUCUCCGCUGAUUUGGGGUUCGAAUUUUGAGUUAAUAAGUAAAAGGGGUUAACGAAAAACCCAGAGAAAUUUGACGAGAGAUCAUGGAAGAUUCACAUGAAAUACAUUCUGAAGAUGAUAAAGGUCAUGUUGGGAAACUCAAGGCAAGAAUAAUGAAGACACCUGCACAACUUGAAGGUCUUGAGAAAUUCUAUCAGGAGCAUAAGUAUCCUACAGAGUCAAUGAAAUUGGAGGUGGCACAGUCAUUGGGAUUAACAGAAAAGCAGGUUUCUGGGUGGUUUUGUCAUAGGCGGUUGAAAGACAAGAGGCUAUCGAGUCGGGAAACAAAUGCAAAAGGAAGACAAGAUCGUUCAAGCGGUGUCAUUCAGGACCGUGGCAGCGGUUUUAGACAGGAUUCUUGUGGAAGUACUAAGCAAGGAGAUGAUAAAUAUUUUGAUCAUCGGGAAGUUGAGAGUAGAAGAUUAACUGGGCCAGAAGUCUCAACUGCGGAUGUGACGCGUGAAGCUGACACUAGGUAUAGAGCAGAGUCUAACCUCAUGGAGGACACACCUUCAGGAAGUAGCUCUUCCUUACGUGAUGCACGUUUUUCACAAAACGUAGAAUCAUUUGAUAUGGCAACUUCAAGAUACCUACCAGGUAAUGAACCUACUGAUCUCAAGUGUGUGAAACCAAGGACUGGCCCAUCAGGGUAUCUAAAAGUGAAAGCAAAGGUAGAAAAUGCUUCAAUUACUGCUGUGAAGAGGCAAUUGGGAAGUCUCUACCGCCAGGAUGGUCCACUACUUGGUGUAGUAUUUGACCAGCUUCCACAGGGUGCUUUUGAAUCAUCAGUGCAAACUCCUGUUGACGACCCUAUAUAUUCUGGAGAACCUGUUCCAGAUCUUACACCAGAUUUCACUAAAGUCGACAAGCGAUCCAAUUCAUGCAUAGGGUAUGGAUCCAUUUCCAAGAUAAACUCUCAUGGCUCUGAUUUGGAUGGUGCAAACUUAAAAAAGUCAAACAAGUCUUCUCAUCCUGAAUAUUACAUCAACCAAAAGCCUGAUCGGAAUUCCUCUAUGCACAAUGGUGAUCGGUACUAUCUUGGGCGGAACUCGUCGAUAGAGAUGCGCAAAGAUUCUGGAAGAGAAGUGGCAGUUGAUGGCAGAUGCAACUAUAAGCUUAUGGCUAAACAUGAUGGUGCAGCCAAUCCUGGCUCUAGUGGUGGUUUUCAAAGUUCCUACAUUGGAAAAGUCAACAGGGAGCAGGUGACUGCUAGGUUCACUAGCCGUGAUGGCUUGAGCCUUGACAUUGCGGAGGAGGAAGAUCUUCAAUGCAAGCCUUCAAAUUUUGUCCAUAAGGGAAGUAAGCAACAUUAUUGUCCAGAGAGAGAGCUCUCCAGUACAGUUGAAAAGGAUUACAUCCAUGUGGACCGACCAACCGUUGAUGAAGAUUAUAAUGAAGAUCAUGUGAAGAUACAGUGGGAGAAGGAAAUGAGGGUUGCCAAAAGAGCAACGGAUGAGGAAGCUCCUAACCAUCAAGAGUAUGUGAGGAAAGCAUCAGUGACUAGAAUGCCAUCCCAGACAAAUCAUCAGAUAAGUUUUGCUGCAGAGAUGUCAUCUAGCUUUAGUGAAGAUGACAAAACAGAAGAAACCAGUUCUUUUGAGGAUUGAGAGAUUUACAGUUUCCAGAGAAAAGUUAAAAAGUGCAGAAGCUGUAGUGAUUCUUGAAUUCCUAUUUGUUGAUAGCUUAAGUUACUUUGGAUUUGUACAGUUCAAAACAACUUAUAAUGCUCUCAUCAGUACACCAGCAUGUGAAAUUGAACAACUUUGGUCUCUGUACAGUAA